rnacentral:rRNA from 1 species
GAUUUCUGGUCUGACGCGCCUGGCCCGGUGGGGUUACCUACUGAGUGCCGGUGCGCGUCUACCAUCCUUCUAGAAAACAGCCUUGCCCUUCACUGGGUUGAGGUUGCGAUCUAGAUCUUUUACUUUGAAAAAAUUAGAGUGUUUCAAGCAGGCUUUAUGCUAUGAAUACAUUAGCAUGGAAUAAUAAUUUAGGACUUCGGUUCUAUUUUGUUGGUUUCUAGGACUGAAGUAAUGAUUGAUAGGGAUAGUUGGGGGUGCUAGUAUUCAGCGGCCAGAGGUGAAAUUCUCGGAUUCGCUGAAGACUAACUUAUGCGAAAGCAUU